CGUUAUCAGUUUAUUAAAAACACUAAAAUUGUUGAAGUCCAGGCCAUACUGGGAUGAAAAGAUAAAUUAGUGGAUUCAUUUGUUUUGCUGGGUGUAUUCAUUAUAUUGCUCAGCUCUACGUGUCUGCUGUACUCUUCUUGUUGGCAAAAAUUGAUCAGGUUUGUGCAGUUGCUUAGCUUUGCCCUAGUUAGGAGCAAGUUUUGACUUCUCUGCUCUAAUCUAAGACACCAUAAGCUCACACUUUUCACAUGGUAGCUUCUGCCAAAAGGUCGUGGCAUCUUGAUGUCAAAGAAAAUCCCAGCUACUAUCUUUUUGGAAAUCAGUCAUGAUGUAAUUAUGUGAAACACUUGGCGCUGUUUUAUUUUCUGAAUGAUGUAAUAAAGAUAUAAGUGUGUUAUCGUGCAACGCAGAAUAAAGAUUGUUUCUUAAUGACGUAAUAAAGAUAUAAGUGUGUUAUCCUGUCCAUACUUGAUUGCCAUUAGAUCUUCAUUGCUUUAAUGGAAUUCACUUUCGAGGAAUGAAAGAAGAAUUUGGUUGCCCACAUGUAGUUGGAGGAAUAGUUCUAGAAACUCCAAAGUCUCGGCAUAUCAAACAUCUCGUUGACUUGCUUUAUUUUCCACCUUUAGCAUAUACACUAUCGCCUCAUUGACAUUAUUAGAAAAUAUAUGUUUAGAGCUUCAAAGGUUUGCAGUUACCAGUUUCAAAAAAAAAAAAAAAAAAAAAAAACUUCAAAGGUAAAACUUUAACUACUGUUACAUGUCUCAAAAAAAAAAAAGAAGGUAAAACUUUAACUAAUAACAUCUUUAAUGAUGAACAGCUGUAUUUAAUCGUCUCUCCAUCUCCCUCCUCCUCUCUUUUGUAAAGAUAACGGUGCGAAGUAAUAUUAAAAUCAAGCUGGGUAUAUGUGGUAAGAGUGAAAUUAGAUAAUGCAUUAUUAUCUCAUUAGUUUCUUUUUUAUUCUUUAAUCCAUAUUCUGAUUAUGAGUAUUCAUGUUUAAUCUUGGAUAUAUUAUUCGUAUCACACACUUCUGCUUUGGCUUUUACUUAUUGCAAUAGCGGUGGACAUACUUGUGAAUGUGCUUUCGAUACCAAUAGAUUUCCUUCCAAAAAUUUUAUGAUCUACUAUAACCCCCACCCAGAAAAAAAAAUAAA